rnacentral:rRNA from 1 species
UACGAAGGGGGCUAGCGUUGCUCGGAAUGACUGGGCGUAAAGAGCUCGUAGGCGGUCUGUCGCGUCGGCUGUGAAAACCCGGGGCUCAACCCCGGGCCUGCAGUCGAUACGGGCAGACUAGAGUGCGGUAGGGGAGACUGGAAUUCCUGGUGUAGCGGUGAAAUGCGCAGAUAUCAGGAGGAACACCGGUGGCGAAGGCGGGUCUCUGGGCCGUAACUGACGCUGGAGGAAGCGAAAGCGUGGGGAGCGAACAGG